rnacentral:misc_RNA from 1 species
UACUUGCGUUAGUGAUUGAAUGGUGUGUUUGAGCUCUUUUUGUUUUUCACAAAAAAGCGAGUAAUGAAAGCACGACCUUUA